GAGGGCGGGAACUCGAAGCCGCUGUGGCCGCCGCUCUGGGCGAGGCUUCGGGCGGGGGCGAGACCCCCGGGCCGGGAGGCGCCCUCGGGCAGCCCCUGGCGUGAGGCAGAGGAGGAAUGGACGGCCCUCACGCGUCUGCACGGUGUUUCGGGUUGCGGGAGGAAGAGACGAUGCACAGGGUCUGGAGCUUCUCAGGCCCUGAGUGUUUCGUCGUGCGUUGGCAGAAGCCGUGGGACGACGAGGCCAGAGCGGCAGCGUCGUCGAGCUCAAGAGUGGAACGGCGAGGCAAGAGCAAGCUUGGAGCUGAAGAGGGACACGAGGGGCCCUCUGGGCAAAGGGCUUUUCCAGGCCAGGGCACCUUCAGGGUGCCGCGGCUGUCUCUGCGCUGGGCGACCUCCCUGUGCGCAGGGCUGGUCUUUGCUGUGGUUGGGCCUUUUGCCCUUGUGCUCCUUUGGCUGCCCGGAGAGAGGGGCAACCCUGUAAAGGAGGGUGAGAGCCCCUGUCUCCGCACCGCAGGGGGGAAACGGAGCUCUCCCGGCCCCCAGCCCAGCUACCCUGUAAGCAGGGCAGGGCUUUUCCCCAGCCCCGGCAGCUUUCUGCCUGCUGCUGACCCCUGGCCAGCGUGACCCCCUGUACUCGGGGCGUGUCACAGCCCAUGUCCCCGGUGCCAGUCCUGAAGCGCCUUCAGCGCGUCGCGGCCCCUGCGGCCUCCUCUCAGUGCACGGGCAGGUCUGAUGCUUUCCUCUCCCGCUCAGCAUUAGCAAUGGCUCCCUAGAGUAAGCUGGCUGCACAGAACUUGCUCCCUCUUCUGGGACUGUCUCCCCCUCCCCCGUCUCCCCCUCCCCUGUCUUCCCCUCAGCUGUUGUGAGUGAGGAUGUGUGGUUUUGCUUUAGGAACAGUGUAGUGUAGCUUAGACCUCCCAGGAGGGAAAGAGGAGCUCUGUGCAGCCACAGGCGGGUGCCCAAAAUGCACGGGUGGAGAAAGCAUCCGGCCUUGCCCCUGCUUUCUGAGGACGGCGCAAAGCCGCUUAGCGGCAGCGUGGGCAGCAUGACCCGCCUGUAGCCAGGGCCAGGGCGUGCACCUAUGCUGCCGGUGGUGCUGGUGAGCUGCCAGCGUGCGGGCCCUGUACUCGGGGCACGUGUCAGGACUUUGGCGGCACCCUUUGUCCCCAGGAGCAGCCCCACCCAGGUCCCUGUAAGCAGGGCUGGGGAGGCUCCUUUAGCCAGGCAACAGGAACGAGCGCUCCCGGGCCCUUGCCAGGGGGCAGCUUGCAGAAGUGCCGUGCCGCAGGGCACGCUCCCGCCUUUGGCCCUGCUUCGGGCUGGCGCCGUAUGGCUGGCGGCGGCCUCGUAGAGGAGGCUCCCGGGGCUCUGCAGACGGCUGUGUUGCCGUGCUGCGCUGCGGCCGGGCUCCAGCCUGUCCCUGAGUGGGGCGCAGGCCGGAGCCUGUGCUCCGUAUGCUUGCUGGGGGGUGCCGGGCAGCAGGGGGUGGCCCCGUAAGUGGGGUUCUGUGCGUCCCUUGGCCUCGGCGGGCGGUUGGAGGGACCCCCUGUAAUCAGGCGGGUGUCCCUGGCCCCGGUCUUUCAGAGGCGUGGGGCCAGGAGUCAUGGGGCCGGGCGUGUGCCCUCCCUGUCCUCGGGGCUGGGCUGGCGGCCCCUCGGCUUUAGGCCGUGAGCUCGACUGCCUGACUCUAGAGUCAGGUUCCUGUUGCCUUGGGGGAAGGCCGAGCUCCGUGGCUCCCUGGGUGUGGACCGGCCUGUAAGCAGGCUGCGGGUCUGGGAGCCUUUGUGCUCCCUUCAGCUGGCAGCCUGUGUGGGGCGCCCGCCCCGUUAGCGGGGAGCGCCCCGGAACUGGAGAGAAGGAGCCUCCAGAGGCCUUGGGGACCAGAGCCGCCCUGUAAGGUGGUGGCCAGUGCUCUGGGGUCCCGGGCACUUUUUAGUCCGGGCAGCGGCUUGAGCCCCCUGUAAGCAGGCCUGCAGCCUCUUGGCCGCUGCCUUGCGUGCCCAGCUUCAUUUGCCCAGAGGGCCCGGCUCCCAGCACGGCGUGGGACUGCGCCGGACGUCGCGACGAAGCCGUGGGACAGCGAGGCAAGUGCGAGCCGCAGGAGCGGCCUCUUCGGGCUCAAGAGUGGAACGGCGAGGCAAGAGGGAGCUUCAGCAUCGGCGGCUUCGAGCCCGGGAGUGGAGCCGCAAGAAGCCGUGGGACGACGAGGCCAGAGCGGCAGCGUCGUCGAGCUCAAGAGUGGAACGGCGAGGCAAGAGCAAGCUUGGAGCUGAAGAGGGACACGAGGGGCCCUCUGGGCAAAGGGCUUUUCCAGGCCAGGGCACCUUCAGGGUGCCGCGGCUGUCUUUGCGCUGGGCGACCUCCCUGUGCGCAGGGCUGGUCUUUGCUGUGGUUGGGCCUUUUGCCCUUGUGCUCCUUUGGCUGCCCGGAGAGAGGGGCAACCCUGUAAAGGAGGGGGUGCGUGGGUGUUGGCAUGAGGAUGUGGCUGUGGGGCUGGUGGGUGGCGGUUCCCUUCAAGCAGAUGUCUGGACCUUCUUCAAGUUUCGUCGUCUGUUAGAAGAAGUCAUGGUAUAACAAGGUACAUGUG